UCCCACCGCUUCCGACCACGCCAAUAUCUUUGCUCCAUCUCCCCCAUCUUCUGCCUCAUCUUCUCAAUUCCUCCACACCGUCGCCGCCAUGCUCCCCGGGCCAGCACAUAUUUGGUGUCUCAGCGCUCAAUCGGCGACAGGAGGCUUGCACCGGCGAGGAAGGUCGGCCACCACAUCGAAGAGACGCGCAAGUAGGCCGAGAACGGCGCGCCUGUGAUCGGGGCGAGGUCCGCGACGGAGAAGGCCGGCCAGGCUCCGCGGCGAAGGAGGCUGGCGCGGUGCCGGGUCGUGCCGGCGAGCAGCAGGUCUCAAGGGCCGUGCCUCUCGCCCGUGGAGCCGCCACUCCUGCGUGUUACGGGCGCGCGAAGGCGGGGCUCAAGGGCAUGUGCAGGCUCAACUGCUCGAGCAGAGGCGGCGAUGAUUUGAGGUCGCGGCGAUUGCGGCGUGAGACGGCGGCGACUCAAUCGGCGUGUGGCAGGUGAAUCCUUUGCCAUAACUCCGCUAACCUCUCCUAAAACAGCUCUAUGGUGGCACUUUACCGCACCCUAGAGCGCCCCCCAAUCCAGCAAAAGAGCUAGCGGCGACCUCUGGCACAGAGCGCCCUACUUUGGUGGCGGCCGAUGCAGAGGCGAUGAACACGAGGCCGGGGAUCGAGGUGGCUGAGGAGGAGGAGGAGGAGGAGCCGGAUAUGGAGGAGGAGGAGGAGCCGGAUAUGGAGGAGGAGGAGAGGCCAAAGGGGAUGGGAAGCACGAGCAGGAGGUGCACGGCGGCAAAGUGGAGGCCGUCGUGCAAGGUCUGCGGGUCUGCCGUACGCUAACUGUUGUUCACACAUGGGGUGCAGCCUUCUUUGGCGGUAGUCCUGCCAGUCCAUGUUCCUUUCCCUGAGAUCUGGCUACUUCCCUCCCUGUAUGGCGGCCACCUCAUGCCCCACGGACGAUGGCACCGGCGAAUUUAGCAGAGGACUAGCUAUGGAGGAUGUUGCAGGCUCUACAACAAGGUGCAAUGUUCCCAUAUCAUCAGCACUUAUAUUACUGUCUUGACCUGAUGGGGGUGGCGUUGGUGUUCUGCUUUUUGUGCUUCAGGCAACAAGUAAAACGUUUUGCUGGAAAGAACAUAUACAAAAUAUGUCGAGUGAAGAUAGCUCUUGAAGCUUGCUUCCUUUCGGUGGGAGCACUGUGGAAGCAUGUCACUGUGGAAAACUGCGGUUUUAUGAGGUGAUUUUAAGCAACUAUUUUCAGUAGUUAAAGGAGGUAGCAGGGAUGAGAUAAUUGAUUCUUUACUUAUUAAAUCGCUACUGUGGAAGCACUGUGGAGCAUAUUACUGUGCUUCGGCGUGCUUGGCCAAUUUUCUCAGAAACGGUUUCGUUCUGUAAGGUGAUUCCUGGUUUGCCUAGACCAUGUUGUAUAUCUGCAACUUUUUUGUUAUUAAAAGGAAAAACACGUUUUCUUUUGAUGUGCAUUCCCUGCUUGCAGUUGUGUCACGCAAUAUUUGUUUUCCUACUUUUACCAUUGCCCUUAUUUCUUCAUUUUGGUUGACGACCCCUAAUCUCCUGCAAAAUGAAGAAAAAAUGUGGCCGAGGUCACUCACCAGUCAGGCACUUUUGCUGCAGGAUACAUAGCGAGACUGCUACUACAUGGGUCAGCGAGUUUUGAGGGCUUCAGGGUCAUGACCCUUCUCAAGGAAAAAGUCUUGAAGGGCAUAGUGCUAAGGCGGACGAAAAUAUGCUGAGAUGUAGAUCUUGCUCUUCCACCAAAGGUUGUAAGUGUUAUAUACUUGAUGAAUUUAAUAAAUGCUCUUUCUACCACUUGCAAGAAGAUUUUUACACCUUAGGUGACAUUGAGUCGGGAUAUACAUGAUGGAUUUAAUUUCUCCUCUUCUCACCAGUUGCACGAAGUUUAAUUUGUACAUCUUAGGUGAGUCUCUUUUGAUAAAAAUGAAAUGGAAUUUUAUGAGGCAUUAUAUUCUCAGAGUUGCACUCAGUUUGAUUUGUAAGUCCUCCUUACCUGCUUAUGUAGUGAUACCAUAUGGAUUAUUUCGUAGGCAUCAUUAUGUUAUUAUCUUUAUUCUGCAAAAGUUGGAAAACAAGUUUCUUCUGAACAAUAACUUUUUCUUUCGAAGCUUCUAACAGCUCUGUCAAAGGGCGGCCAACCCAGCGCACUCACCAAAAAAGCAAGCAUUAGCCGUUUUGUAGACCCAGUGUGGUGGCUUUAAGGUUCAUACCGAGUUUGUGCAUGCCUUCGUGUUUUGUAGACCCCAUGCUUGAUCUGAAGGUCACUCUUCUUCUAUCAUCAGUAUCAUUACUUCUAUUCAAAGAAAUGCAACCAUUUGCUUUUGUAGUUGAAAAAUUAGCACCAUAUUUGUCUCUUUCGAAGGCCAUUCAUCUUUUAUCAUCAAUUCUUCAAUUACGUUCCGAAGAUGUAUUUUUUCUUUGAUUUAACCAUUCAGAUUUACAAUGUUGAAUCUGCCAAAGAAACUAGAGUUGACAUGACCAUAGCCUCGAGAGAUUCAAGACCAUCAGAAAAUCAAAUAGGUGGUAUUAGAGCCUUACUUUCUUUGGGUUAUAGAGCCAUUGCCAUCACACGGGUUCUCGAUGCCACUGAUUGGGCGAGAACCGAGAAUCUUACCGUGGCGAAGAGUGCUGGCUUUGCUGACGGUGAAAAUGUUGACCACCUGACAAAGGAAACAAUAGUCCUCCCAGCCAUUCACCUUGGUCAAGGGAAAGGAGAUCAUUGUUCUUUCUUAGGACGAUGAAGACUACCUGCAGUUUCAGGAUCUAUUUCAUGCAGCCAAAAUCGGACAACUCGGCAGACCGGCCACAUUUGAUAGUUGGCUCCAAAGCAUACAUAUAAUGGAUAGCCUCUACUGAUGCGUUUCGUCUUUUGUAAGCAAUAUGUCAUGUUUGACCACUAUUGUUCACGGAUAAUGAUGGAACACAUUGACGACUGCAUCACUGGAUACUAAGUCUUGCUGAAGACCAGGUUGGCUUACUGAUCUAUGAUGCCUGCUUUUGACAGGUUGGCUGAAACAUAGACCAUAUAAGCCUUAAAAAUGUAGAACUGCAGGGGCACGCAUUGUUUUGUAUGGCAUAAGCAGCAGCAUCUGCUUAAUCUACCAUUGAACUAUAGGUUGUAACUCAUAUUUGUGUGUACAUAUAUCCAUGAAAUUUCCCUA